GAAGAAACUGCGAUCCUUGGCGUCUCGAAGGAUUCAAUUUCGCUAGAACUAAAUUGGCAAGUCGAUUCUAAUCAGUUCAGUUUCCCAUCGUGUACAUGCUCAUCGUGGAGUGGAGAAUGGCGCUUGGAGAACAGUAAGGGUGAUAUCAGGAAUGAGGACAGAAAAAGUUGCAACGUGCCAUCUUUACCAAAGAUAAGCCGCAUCCGUCAUUGCUUCGCCACCUCCACUCGUGCAGCAACGUAAAUCAGGGAAUGUGGCUCCAUCGCGCUGUGUGCAUUUGGGUCAGGUGAGGUCUAUUGUCUCGCCGGAAACUUCCGCUCUCAGGAUGUCGACCCAGGGUGCCAGGGACCCCAUCUUUGCCGGUUUGGAAGGCGUCAGGAUUUUAGAGGCCACCCCCGAGUCCUUCGAGGACCCCCGAGGACCUCCCGGAGGGGCGAAACCUGUCUCCUCGACAGAGCUUUACCGGGACUUUAUUAGGCCGCUAGGAGGCCCCGGGUCCUCUGCCCGGCGUCCGCUCUCCUCGGGAUUCGAGGGCCAGCCCGGAGCCCGGAAAUCG